GCUUAACACAUGCAAGUCGAGGGGCAGCAUGGUCUUAGCUUGCUAAGGCCGAUGGCGACCGGCGCACGGGUGAGUAACACGUAUCCAACCUGCCGUCUACUCUUGGACAGCCUUCUGAAAGGAAGAUUAAUACAAGAUGGCAUCAUGAGUCCGCAUGUUCACAUGAUUAAAGGUAUUCCGGUAGACGAUGGGGAUGCGUUCCAUUAGAUAGUAGGCGGGGUAACGGCCCACCUAGUCUUCGAUGGAUAGGGGUUCUGAGAGGAAGGUCCCCCACAUUGGAACUGAGACACGGUCCAAACUCCUACGGGAGGCAGCAGUGAGGAAUAUUGGUCAAUGGGCGAGAGCCUGAACCAGCCAAGUAGCGUGAAGGAUGACUGCCCUAUGGGUUGUAAACUUCUUUUAUAAAGGAAUAAAGUCGGGUAUGGAUACCCGUUUGCAUGUACUUUAUGAAUAAGGAUCGGCUAACUCCGUGCCAGCAGCCGCGGUAAUACGGAGGAUCCGAGCGUUAUCCGGAUUUAUUGGGUUUAAAGGGAGCGUAGAUGGAUGUUUAAGUCAGUUGUGAAAGUUUGCGGCUCAACCGUAAAAUUGCAGUUGAUACUGGAUAUCUUGAGUGCAGUUGAGGCAGGCGGAAUUCGUGGUGUAGCGGUGAAAUGCUUAGAUAUCACGAAGAACUCCGAUUGCGAAGGCAGCCUGCUAAGCUGCAACUGACAUUGAGGCUCGAAAGUGUGGGUAUCAAACAGGAUUAGAUACCCUGGUAGUCCACACGGUAAACGAUGAAUACUCGCUGUUUGCGAUAUACUGCAAGCGGCCAAGCGAAAGCGUUAAGUAUUCCACCUGGGGAGUACGCCGGCAACGGUGAAACUCAAAGGAAUUGACGGGGGCCCGCACAAGCGGAGGAACAUGUGGUUUAAUUCGAUGAUACGCGAGGAACCUUACCCGGGCUUAAAUUGCAGAUGAAUUACGGUGAAAGCCGUAAGCCGCAAGGCAUCUGUGAAGGUGCUGCAUGGUUGUCGUCAGCUCGUGCCGUGAGGUGUCGGCUUAAGUGCCAUAACGAGCGCAACCCUUGUUGUCAGUUACUAACAGGUUCCGCUGAGGACUCUGACAAGACUGCCAUCGUAAGAUGUGAGGAAGGUGGGGAUGACGUCAAAUCAGCACGGCCCUUACGUCCGGGGCUACACACGUGUUACAAUGGGGGGUACAGAGGGCCGCUACCACGCGAGUGGAUGCCAAUCCCCAAAACCUCUCUCAGUUCGGACUGGAGUCUGCAACCCGACUCCACGAAGCUGGAUUCGCUAGUAAUCGCGCAUCAGCCACGGCGCGGUGAAUACGUUCCCGGGCCUUGUACACACCGCCCGUCAAGCCAUGGGAGCCGGGGGUACCUGAAGUGCGUAACCGCGAGGAGCGCCCUAGGGUAAAACUGGUGACUGGGGCUAAG
rnacentral:rRNA from 2 species